rnacentral:rRNA from 1 species
GAUGCACGCUUUCUUCGUUCCUAAUACAUGCAAGUCGAGCGAACAGACGAGGAGCUUGCUCCUCUGACGUUAGCGGCGGACGGGUGAGUAACACGUGGAUAACCUACCUAUAAGACUGGGAUAACUUCGGGAAACCGGAGCUAAUACCGGAUAAUAUAUUGAACCGCAUGGUUCAAUAGUGAAAGACGGUUUUGCUGUCACUUAUAGAUGGAUCCGCGCCGCAUUAGCUAGUUGGUAAGGUAACGGCUUACCAAGGCGACGAUGCGUAGCCGACCUGAGAGGGUGAUCGGCCACACUGGAACUGAGACACGGUCCAGACUCCUACGGGAGGCAGCAGUAGGGAAUCUUCCGCAAUGGGCGAAAGCCUGACGGAGCAACGCCGCGUGAGUGAUGAAGGUCUUCGGAUCGUAAAACUCUGUUAUUAGGGAAGAACAAAUGUGUAAGUAACUAUGCACGUCUUGACGGUACCUAAUCAGAAAGCCACGGCUAACUACGUG